rnacentral:rRNA from 1 species
CCGAGUUGUAAUUUGCAGAGGAUGCUUUUGGUGCGGUGCCUUCCGAGUUCCCUGGAACGGGACGCCAGAGAGGGUGAGAGCCCCGUACGGUUGGCCGCCUACCCUAUAUAUAGCUCCUUCGACGAGUCGAGUAGUUUGGGAAUGCUGCUCUAAAUGGGAGGUAAAUUUCUUCUAAAGCUAAAUACCGGCCAGAGACCGAUAGCGCACAAGUAGAGUGAUCGAAAGAUGAAAAGCACUUUGAAAAGAGGGUUAAAUAGCACGUGAAAUUGUUGAAAGGGAAGCGUUUGCGACCAGACUUUUUCCAGGCGGAUCAUCCGGUGUUCUCACCGGUGCACUUCGCCUGGUUUAGGCCAGCAUCGGUUUCUCUAGGGGGAUAAAGGCCUGGGGAACGUAGCUCUUUAGGGAGUGUUAUAGCCCCUUGCGUAAUACCCCUCGGGGGACCGAGGACCGCGCUCUGCAAGGAUGCUGGCGUAAUGGUCGUCAACGACCCGUCUUGAAACACGGACCAAGGAGUCGAACAUUUGUGCGAGUGUUUGGGUGUUAAACCCUCACGCGUAAUGAAAGUGAACGGAGGUGAGAGCCCUUUUAGGGUGCAUCAUCGACCGAUCCUGAUGUCUUCGGAUGGAUUUGAGUAAGAGCAUAACUGUUCGGANCCGAAAGAUGGUGAACUAUGCGUGGAUAGGGUGAAGCCAGAGGAAACUCUGGUGGAGGCUCGCAGCGG